AGCGGGGCCUGUGCUUGGCAGCACAGCAGCUGCAGCCACCUCCAAAUAGACCCUGGCUUUGCAGGGAUGCAGCAGCACACGGACAGGGGAUCACAGAAAGGGUUUUCCAUUCCAGCCACAGGGAAUGCAUGCAUGGAACACCCCAUGUCCAACCCUGCAGGACGUGGGCACAGCCAGGACCCCCACACUGCAGCCCUUGGUGCACCCAGACUCAGCCCCUGCCCUGGAACCUCUGCAAAAACAACACCCUUCUGAGAAAACCCUCAUCCAAGCGGAAAAAAAACACCACCAGAGCCUGACAAGGAAGCAGAGCUAAAUAAAAGCACGCUCCUAUA